CAGCAGCCACGGGAAUACGAAGGGGGCUAGCGUUGCUCGGAAUUACUGGGCGUAAAGGGAGCGUAGGCGGACAUUUAAGUCAGGGGUGAAAUCCCAGAGCUCAACUCUGGAACUGCCUUUGAUACUGGGUGUCUUGAGUGUGAUAGAGGUAUGUGGAACUCCGAGUGUAGAGGUGAAAUUCGUAGAUAUUCGGAAGAACACCAGUGGCGAAGGCGACAUACUGGAUCAUUACUGACGCUGAGGCUCGAAAGCGUGGGGAGCGAACAGGAUUAGAUACCCCUGUAGUCCCUGUCUCUUAUAC
rnacentral:rRNA from 1 species